UCCGCCAUGGAACAUCCACAAGACAGGACA
rnacentral:piRNA from 1 species